GGAGAAGGCGAUGGUUGCUGAGACAGUCCUCGGAGGAGAACCCAGGACGGCUUCCCUGCAGAAGGAAGUGACUCAGCCGCGGAGGACUGCAGGAUCAAUCGGAGCAGAUCAGGUAAAGGAGUGCAGGGGCUGGGGACAGAGCAAAUCGCCAGGCUGGAGAAACAGCACACAGCAAAGCCGGAGGCCAGAAAGAGCGUGGCUGGCUGCAGAAGCUGAAAGUUCAGUAAGGCUGGGAUUCCCAGAUAAGGAAACGCAGUGUGGAGCCAUGACGCUAGAAAGAUCUUUUUCACCCUGAAUAGCACUUGCCAGCAAGAUGUGAAAAGGAAAAGUUUGCAAGCUCGGACCAACCAUUCUGAGGGCUUUGAUCUGUCUUUGAUUUUGCAGCAAUUGGUGCGAAUGGUAGACAUCUGAUUCACCUGCCUUACUCAUUCCUGACGCGCACCCUAUACCAGCUGCUCUCCACUGACUUUGGCCUGGAAAAUUGAAAUCAAAUGCUGCACAGUCAAGCAACUUCUAAGCAAUUUCAAAUAAGUACAGUCAUAAUUCAUCUCUAGUCAAACAAUGUGAGAUUUUAGUAAGAGCAACAGGAAAAGUUCUACAGGGAAAGAACACUUCUAACUUCCAUUGUUCUGCAAAUACUCCUCCACAAGUAAUUUUCUUCCCUUAGUUACUGAGUGGGUGUCUGAUGAUCAUGAUCGGAACAUGAGAAAAGGUAAAUCAUAUUUUUUAUUCCUGUAAAGGAUAAGUGUGAUUAUUUAAUUCUUACAUAAUUCUGGCUACAUGAUAUGCAAGUAUGUU
rnacentral:lncRNA from 10 species